rfam:Hordeum vulgare subsp. vulgare, WGS project CAJW01000000 data, contig: morex_contig_1613012
CUUAUACUUCCUCCGUUCCAAAAUUCUUGUCUUAGGUUUGUUUAAAAAUGAACGUAUUUAAAUACUAAAACGUGACUAGAUAUAUUCAUAUCUAGAUAAAUGUAAGACAAGAAUUUUGGGACGGAGGGAGUAUUAG